rnacentral:RNase_P_RNA from 1 species
GAAGCUGACCAGACAGUCGCCGCUUCGUCGUCGUCCUUUCGGGGAGACGGGCGGAGGGGAGGAAAGUCCGGGCUCCAUAGGGCAGGGUGCCAGGUAACGCCGGGGGGGAAACCCCACGCCCAGUGCAACAGAGAGAAAACCGCCGAUGGCCCACGUAAGUGGGAUCAGGUAAGGGUGAAAGGGUGCGGUAAGAGCGCACCGCGCGGCUGGUAACAGUCCGUGGCACGGUAAACUCCACCCGGAGCAAGGCCAAAUAGGGGUUCAUAAGGUACGGCCCGUACUGAACCCGGGUAGGCUGCUUGAGCCAGUGAGCGAUUGCUGGCCUAGAUGAAUGACUGUCCACGACAGAACCCGGCUUAUCGGUCAGUUUCACUU